UGGGGAAUAUUGGGCAAUGGGCGAAAGCCUGACCCAGCGACGCCGCGUGAGGGAAGAAGGUCUUCGGAUUGUAAACCUUAGUCAACAGGGAAGAAACAAAUGACGGUACCUGUGGAGGAAGCCACGGCUAACUACGUGCCAGCAGCCGCGGUAAUACGUAGGUGGCAAGCGUUAUCCGGAUUUACUGGGUGUAAAGGGCGCGUAGGCGGGGAUGCAAGUCAGAUGUGAAAUCUAUGGGCUUAACCCAUAAACUGCAUUUGAAACUGUAUUUCUUGAGUGCUGGAGAGGUAGAUGGAAUUCCUUGUGUAGCGGUGAAAUGCGUAGAUAUAAGGAAGAACACCAGCGGCGAAGGCGAUCUACUGGACAGUAACUGACGCUGAGGCGCGAGAGCGUGGGGAGCAAACAGGAUUAGAUACCCUGGUA
rnacentral:rRNA from 1 species